UUGAAUUUUAUUAGGGAGGUCACUCGGUGUGACAGUCGGAUUUUUAAGGUAGUUCUGUACAUACACGUGCGAGCUAAAGUUUGGGCUGCGAUGUACAAAGAAAUCCAAUGAUUGCUGGCGGCUACACGGUUUUGUCGAAAGCUUGUACACUCUGCCUGCCUUGCACAAUCUCAUGCAUCGAUGGAUCCUCACGCAUAUAGAGAGAGGCGCUGUAAUCGUGGCAACAACGCCAUCCUGCAGUAUUACUUUGAAGCAAUAGCCACUGCUUUGCAGCAAAAUCCCACGGAAUCGUGGAAACAUGGGUUCCUAGUGGGCUGGUGUAACACCCAGUUAACCCGAGACACCGGAGUUAAAAAUUCUUUCAGAGUUGAAUAUCAAUAAAUGAACCUUCCAAAUUU